rnacentral:rRNA from 1 species
CGGGGGGAGCAAGCGUUGUUCGGAUUACUGGGCGUAAAGGGCGCGUAGGCGGCCUCUGCAAGUCGACUGUGAAAUCUCCGGGCUUAACCCGGAAAGGUCAGCCGAUACUGCAGGGCUAGAGUGCAGAAGGGGCAACUGGAAUUCUCGGUGUAGCGGUGAAAUGCGUAGAUAUCGAGAGGAACACCUGCGGCGAAGGCGGGUUGCUGGGCUGACACUGACGCUGAAGUGCGAAAGCUAGGGGAGCGAACGGGAUUAGAUACCCCGGUAGUCCUAGCCUUAAACGAUGAAUGCUUGGUGUCUGGGGUUUUAUAGUCCCCGGGUGCCGUCGCUAACGCUUUAAGCAUUCCGCCUGGGGAGUACGGUCGCAAGACUG